rnacentral:rRNA from 1 species
UACGUAGGGUGCGAGCGUUAAUCGGAAUUACUGGGCGUAAAGUGUGCGCAGGCGGCCGCGCAAGUCGAGUGUGAAAGCCCCGGGCUUAACUUGGGAAUUGCGCUCGAAACUACGUGGCUGGAGUGUGGCAGAGGAAGGUGGAAUUCCACGUGUAGCGGUGAAAUUCGUAGAUAUUGGGAAGAACACCGAUGGCGAAGGCAGCCAUCUGGACCGACACUGACGCUGAGGCGCGAAAGCGUGGGGAGCAAACAGG